AUCAGAGGAUGGCAAUGGGAUAUGAUAUGGUUUUCAGUGUCCUUUUACAUAGCAUAUAAUUUCAUGGCUGGUGUAAUAGAGAGAUACGGAACACACAGAGUUGACGGAACGCCUAUUAGACGAACAAGCCCGUUUCCCGACGAGGAUUAAGUGUAAAAAGCUUUAAACGAGCUUGACAAAAAAUACAACCUUGCGACUGGAAUGGACCCGGCUAAAGAGAGUUAUAGAAAGGUAUGGGUCCCAUUCCCCUCAUCAGUUUGUGGAGGCGACGCCUGACAAGAAAAAAAAAUUAAAUCCCGAUGACGACUAACUAGAGUUAUAGAAAGGUAUGGUUCCCAUUCCCCUCAUCAGUUUGUGGAGGCGACGCCUGACAAGAAAAAAAAGUUAAAUCCCGAUGAUGACUAACUGUGAGAUAUGUGUUCAAAGGCUGCGGAGGUGGUGGAAUGUGGUAGAAAUACGGAGGCGUGUAGAGCAAGUCAUCAAUCCCGGCUAUGGGCGUUCCUCUCGACGGAACCAUAGACCGCACUGUACCGUAUAAGUUCCUGUUACGUCCCUGUUUCCCGUACAUGUUCAUCAUCACACCGAAUUCACACUGGCUCCACAGUUUUGUACCUUUGCACGUUCACGUUCAAGAUGAAGUUCAUAAAAACGCCCGAAAAUUAAACAGAUAAUCGUGAAGACCACAUUUGGUGACAAGCGCAGUUAAUAAUCCUCUUCAUCUCGCCAAAAGGUUUGGUGGACCCGGACAUUGUAAACGAAGAAGGCAGUAGUCAACACAAGUAUUUCUACAGCAAACCAGAACAAAUUGCCAAGUCAAUGAGAAAAGUGCUCGAUAAAUACAUGCAGGA